UACGUAGGGUGCAAGCGUUGUCCGGAAUUAUUGGGCGUAAAGAGCUCGUAGGCGGUCUGUCACGUCGGCUGUGAAAACCCGAGGCUCAACCUCGGGCCUGCAGUCGAUACGGGCAAACUAGAGUACUGCAGGGGAGACUGGAAUUCCUGGUGUAGCGGUGAAAUGCGCAGAUAUCAGGAGGAACACCGGUGGCGAAGGCGGGUCUCUGGGCCGUAACUGACGCUGGAGGAGCGAAAGCGUGGGGAGCGAACAGG
rnacentral:rRNA from 1 species